GAUAACGGCGUCGAGCGGCGGACGGGUGAGUAAUGCCUAGGAAAUUGCCCUGAUGUGGGGGAUAACCAUUGGAAACGAUGGCUAAUACCGCAUGAUGCCUACGGGCCAAAGAGGGGGACCUUCGGGCCUCUCGCGUCAGGAUAUGCCUAGGUGGGAUUAGCUAGUUGGUGAGGUAAGGGCUCACCAAGGCGACGAUCCCUAGCUGGUCUGAGAGGAUGAUCAGCCACACUGGAACUGAGACACGGUCCAGACUCCUACGGGAGGCAGCAGUGGGGAAUAUUGCACAAUGGGCGCAAGCCUGAUGCAGCCAUGCCGCGUGUGUGAAGAAGGCCUUCGGGUUGUAAAGCACUUUCAGUCGUGAGGAAGGUGGUGUAGUUAAUAGCUGCAUUAUUUGACGUUAGCGACAGAAGAAGCACCGGCUAACUCCGUGCCAGCAGCCGCGGUAAUACGGAGGGUGCGAGCGUUAAUCGGAAUUACUGGGCGUAAAGCGCAUGCAGGUGGUUUGUUAAGUCAGAUGUGAAAGCCCGGGGCUCAACCUCGGAAUAGCAUUUGAAACUGGCAGACUAGAGUACUGUAGAGGGGGGUAGAAUUUCAGGUGUAGCGGUGAAAUGCGUAGAGAUCUGAAGGAAUACCGGUGGCGAAGGCGGCCCCCUGGACAGAUACUGACACUCAGAUGCGAAAGCGUGGGGAGCAAACAGGAUUAGAUACCCUGGUAGUCCACGCCGUAAACGAUGUCUACUUGGAGGUUGUGGCCUUGAGCCGUGGCUUUCGGAGCUAACGCGUUAAGUAGACCGCCUGGGGAGUACGGUCGCAAGAUUAAAACUCAAAUGAAUUGACGGGGGCCCGCACAAGCGGUGGAGCAUGUGGUUUAAUUCGAUGCAACGCGAAGAACCUUACCUACUCUUGACAUCCAGAGAACUUUCCAGAGAUGGAUUGGUGCCUUCGGGAACUCUGAGACAGGUGCUGCAUGGCUGUCGUCAGCUCGUGUUGUGAAAUGUUGGGUUAAGUCCCGCAACGAGCGCAACCCUUAUCCUUGUUUGCCAGCGAGUAAUGUCGGGAACUCCAGGGAGACUGCCGGUGAUAAACCGGAGGAAGGUGGGGACGACGUCAAGUCAUCAUGGCCCUUACGAGUAGGGCUACACACGUGCUACAAUGGCGCAUACAGAGGGCAGCCAACUUGCGAAAGUGAGCGAAUCCCAAAAAGUGCGUCGUAGUCCGGAUUGGAGUCUGCAACUCGACUCCAUGAAGUCGGAAUCGCUAGUAAUCGUGGAUCAGAAUGCCACGGUGAAUACGUUCCCGGGCCUUGUACACACCGCCCGUCACACCAUGGGAGUGGGCUGCAAAAGAAGUAGGUAG
rnacentral:rRNA from 1 species